rnacentral:lncRNA from 1 species
GAAGCUUCAUGAGAUCUCUCCUGUCUGUGCACGGACGAGUGGCCGACUCUGGAGCCCAGGGUGUUGCUUCCCGGUCUGGUAGUGAAUCGUCCAUAGUCUGGUGGAAGACGGAAAGAGAAAACCAUAUGAAAAAAAGACACAAAUUUCUAAAAAAGCAUCCUGUCUUUGAAGAGUGGCAAAUACUAUUCUGUUUUUGAGUACAGAAAUAGAUCCAACUUGGAAUUAUAAAACAGAAUGGCACAAUAUAUUUAACUGACUUCCAUCUUCAAGCAAAGAGUUGUUCUCCAAAUGGCAAUUGGAAUUUGCAGCAACCUGAGUGAGGAGAGAGAUAAAUUGAAUAAUUGUUAGGCAAAAAUGAACCAGAACUUGAAGACUUGGAAAAUUACCAGCCUAUUUAUAUUGCAAAAUAAUACCAAAGAAUUUUGGGAAGAGAACAUCAAGGAUAUUGCUGGGCUACAAAGAUCUGCUAGAAAGAUUACAGAAGAAUAAUUUGCUCAUCUCUCAUUCAUACUGCUAUCCAGAUUCCUAACUGGGCUUCAUAAAAUUUACUGAUCUACAGAAAAAUUAUUCUCAGAAACUUGUGAACUUUUGUCCAAUGUAAACAGUCAUUUUCUAGGAGAGGUGCACAGCUUUUAUCAUAGUACUUUUAUUCUUUAUACUCUGAAGUAGGUAGAAUGCAUUUUGGAUGGCAUAUUUUCUUCUUGAUUGUUUCUUUUCUCUUCCAGAAUGCAUUCUCUUUUGACUUUUUCAUUAAGCAACAUUGUGAAAGAAAUAAAACUUCUGAGUCUUAGUAUAUCCGAAAAUAUUUCUUUUAUCCUCUUGGUGGACAUUUGAUGGAAUACCAAAUUUUAGAUCCAGAAUUUCUUUUGCUUACAA